rnacentral:rRNA from 1 species
UGAGGAAUAUUGGUCAAUGGGCGAGAGCCUGAACCAGCCAAGUCGCGUGAAGGAAGACUGCCUUAUGGGUUGUAAACUUCUUUUAUACAGGAAUAAAAAGGCUUACGUGUAGGCCAUUGCAAGUACUGUAUGAAUAAGCAUCGGCUAACUCCGUGCCAGCAGCCGCGGUAAUACGGAGGAUGCGAGCGUUACCCGGAUUUAUUGGGUUUAAAGGGUGCGCAGGCGGGCUUUUAAGUCAGCGGUGAAAUCUGGACGCUUAACGUCCAAACUGCCGUUGAAACUGGGAGUCUUGAGUAUGGAUGAAGUAGGCGGAAUUCGUUGUGUAGCGGUGACAUGCAUAGAUAUAACGAGGAACUCCGAUUGCGUAGGCAGCUUACUAAGCCAUAACUGACGCUCAUGCACGAAAGCGUGGGGAUCAAACAGGAUUAGAUACCCUGGUAGUCCACGCCGUAAAACGAUGAUUACUAGUUGUAUGCGAUAUGAUAGUAUGUGACUAAGCGAAAGCGAUAAGUAAUCCACCUGGGGAGUACGCCGGCAACGGUGAAACUCAAAUG